UCCCUGGUGGUCUAAUGGUUAGGACUAGUGCUUUCACCACUGUGGCCUGGGUUCAAUCCCUGGUUGGGCAA
rnacentral:tRNA from 1 species